rnacentral:rRNA from 1 species
CAGUAGCCACGGUAAUACGAAGGGUGCAAGCGUUAAUCGGAAUUACUGGGCGUAAAGCGUGCGUAGGCGGUGAGUUAAGUCUGCUGUGAAAUCCCCGGGCUCAACCUAGGAAUGGCAGUGGAUACUGGCUCGCUAGAGUGUGUCAGAGGAUGGUGGAAUUCCCGGUGUAGCGGUGAAAUGCGUAGAGAUCGGGAGGAACAUCAGUGGCGAAGGCGGCCAUCUGGGACAACACUGACGCUGAGGCACGAAAGCGUGGGGAGCAAACAGGAUUAGAUACCCGAGUAGUCCCUGUCUCUUAUAA